rnacentral:rRNA from 1 species
UCCUACGGGAGGCAGCAGUGGGGAAUCUUAGACAAUGGGGGCAACCCUGAUCUAGCCAUGCCGCGUGAGUGAUGAAGGCCUUAGGGUCGUAAAGCUCUUUCGCCUGUGAUGACAAUGACAGUAGCAGGUAAAGAAACCCCGGCUAACUCCGUGCCAGCAGCCGCGGUAAUACGGAGGGGGUUAGCGUUGUUCGGAAUUACUGGGCGUAAAGCGCGCGUAGGCGGAUUAGAAAGUUGGGGGUGAAAUCCCGGGGCUCAACCCCGGAACUGCCUCCAAAACUGCUAGUCUAGAGUUCGAGAGAGGUGAGUGGAAUUCCGAGUGUAGAGGUGAAAUUCGUAGAUAUUCGGAGGAACACCAGUGGCGAAGGCGGCUCACUGGCUCGAUACUGACGCUGAGGUGCGAAAGUGUGGGGAGCAAACAGGAUUAGAUACCCUGGUAGUCCACACCGUAAACGAUGAAUGCCAGUCGUCGGGUAGUAUACUAUUCGGUGACACACCUAACGGAUUAAGCAUUCCGCCUGGGGAGUACGGUCGCAAGAUUAAAACUCAAAUGAAUUGACGGA